GCUCCUUAUCAGCACUACUGCUUCAGCUAAUCUCUUACCAGCUUUCCGGAAAGGGACAGCUUCUCAGAUUUUAGCAAGGUUGGAACCACCCAUUGCCUGCCUUGCCCUCCAUCCUGUGCUUAUAAAAACUUCAUACCCAGCUGGCAGAGAGGAGAAGCAGCUGGACAUCAGAGACUAUGGCUGGAUGUUGAAAAAAACACUUUAGGUAUGAAGGCAGUGGCUCAGAUAAUGCUCAGAGGGCUGAAACGUGCCUGA
rnacentral:lncRNA from 1 species